UAGAAUGUGCCAGUUGCCUCUUAUCUUUGGGGAUCCAGACAACCAGACCACAGCCUGGGUGGGAAGAGCUUGCACUACUGGACCAUUCAUUUAUCUUCAUGUGCAUCUUCUGUGAGUUACUCUCGGACUACAGCAGAGGCCCCAAGAGGACACAUGCCUUUGCCCAAGGUCACAGCCAGAAGUGGUGGAACUGGACUUGGGAUCCAGGGCCAGCUGCCUCUCCACACCCAUGGCGCUUUCAUGGCACCUGGAGAGGCCAAGUAGGCAAGAAAGGAAAUGGAAUGAGUCGUUUACGGCCCCGGGCAUUUUUGGCGGCAACAAGAGCGAGCUGAGACCAGGAAGUCACAACAUCAGUGGCGGCAGAUUUGAAACUCUCUCUUCUGACUCAGUUCAAUACUCUCUCAUUCAAUAAACAUCAAUUGAGCACUUCCUA